GUGUUAGGCAAAUAAAGAGUCGACUGGCUGGAAUAUCUGGUCGUAUGCAGAAGGUGAGAGAUGAACUUGAACAUUUGCUGGACGAUGACAAAGAUAUGGCUGAAAUGUGUUUGACAGAAAAGCUUAUUUCUAAUUCAUUGGAUGAGGCAUCAUUGGAAGAGGAAGUCAACCCUGCACCUGAAUUAGAAAAUUACAGGGCUGAAGAUUCGAGGUCAGAGAAGAACUCUGAAAUUUACAAUGACUUUAAGCCCAAAAUUAAGGAGUUGGAG